rnacentral:rRNA from 1 species
AUUUUCUGCCACCGAAUACAUUAGCAUGGGAUAAUGGAAUAGGACCCUGUCCUCCUAUUUUCAGUUGGUUUUGGCAGCGCGAGGACUAGGGUAAUGAUUAAUAGGGAUAGUUGGGGGCAUUAAUAUUUAAUUGUCAGAGGUGAAAUUCUUGGAUUUAUGAAAGAUUAACUUCUGCGAAAGCAUCUGCCAAGGAUGUUUUCAUUAAUCAAGAACGAAAGUUAGGGGAUCGAAGACGAUCAGAUACCGUCGUAGUCUUAACCAUAAACGAUGCCGACCAGCGAUUAGGAGACGUUGAAUACAAAACACCACCAUCGGUGCGGUCGUCCUUGGCGUCGGUUUCGGCCGGCGCGGGGGUGGCUUAGCCCGGUGGCACCGGUGAAUGACUCCCCUAGC